CAGUAUAUACCCGUGAAAUGAAGAGUCACUCAGUCUUCCUGGGGAAGAGACAUACUGUACCAUCUAUCUACGGCCCUUCUGGUUGUGGAAAUUGAUGGGAAGGCCCUGCUACUACUCACGACUGAUGUGAUGAUGAAUUAUAUGGGGCUGAAGCUGGGGACAGCCAUGAAGCUAUGCCACUACAUUGAAAGAGUUAAAGAAGAAAUAUUCUACUUCAAUUGAAAAAAAUGUGCGAUUUAAGAUUGGGCUUACUUCUAGGGGGACCAGUGCCUUCUUGGUGUAAGAUCAUUUUUCUGCCCUUACUAGUUUUUGUUUUGUGAAAGUAUCAUCUAAAAAUGUUAUGACAAGAAUUGCAGAACUAUAUUACAGUUCAGUCUAGUUCUUUAAAAUCCAUUUAACAUGUUAGUGUUUGCAUAUUUAAGUUGGAAGUUCAUCCUUUAUGUCUGCUUAUUAUUUUCAUUGUAUAGUCUACAAAUAUACUUCAUGCAGGAAAUAGUGAAAAAACUUUGGCUUUGGUUCAGUUUUACAUCUGGAACCAAAACAACUAAAAGAGGAAAUAUCAGGGAUUGACAACUUCUAUAAUUAAGUCCAUGAGAAUUUUUCCUCAGAAGAGAAUUUAAAGAUGCACGUGUAGAUAUCAUCUCCCUCUCAUGUGUUUUAUCUGUCUGAUGCUGCAGUGUCCUGUUCAUGUUCUACCAUUUGUUGUAAAUGCCAAUAAAAUGCUCACCUGGGGCAAGAAUGUUCAUUUUCUUUUUAGAAAGACAAACGUGCCUUAGACAUGAAUGCAGCUAUUGAAAGGAUGGCUUCACCUGUGUUAUUCCUUAUAUGUUAGAAGUCGAGAUUCUUACUUAAACUUAGUCUUGUUUCACAUUGUUUGUAGGAAGGUGCUGUGUCCAACUGAACAGUCCUCAGGUGUUAGUAUAAAUACUGUUUUUCUGUUUUCUGAUUUUAAAAUAUAAUAAAGUUAAAUAACUGCAAUGAUU